rnacentral:rRNA from 1 species
CGUUUAGGGGUAAACCUGAGAAACCCGAAAGGUCAAAGGAAGAAAUUCAUCGCGUUUCGUGAUUGGCGACGAUCGGAUCGUGUGACGGUUAAUUGCUUGCAAUUGCCGCACCGUUCGUUCGUCGAACUGGUUGCGAACGUGUGCACUUUUCUUCUGGUAGGACGUCGCGAUUCGUUGGGCGUCGGUUUAAGGUUUCUGCGGUGGAGUCCGUUUGAGCUUUUUAUUAAGCGUUGAACGAACCCGUGUUACCCGACCGACUCGCUCGACGGUAUUCGUAUGGUUCGAGGCCGCUCAUUAGGAGCGUUCGACUCGCGGCAAGCGCGCUAUGUGUGUUGAAGAUCGGACCUAGUGCCGAUCCCGACCACUGGCGACUGUUGGCCGUGAAGAUUCUCGGGCAGACCUCGUUAACCGAUCGGCGACGAUAUAGAUUUGGGUACUUUCAGGACCCGUCUUGAAACACGGACCAAGGAGUCUAGCAUGUACGCGAGUCAUUGGGAUUAUAUUAAACCUAAAGGCGUAAUGAAAGUAAAAAUCCUCCUUGCGGGGAUUGAGGGAAGACGGGCGGUUUAGCCGUUAAAAGCGGCCGCUUCGCAUUCCCGGGGCGUCUCAUUCUCAGUUCAUCUUGAUGAGCGAGAAGAGGCGCACCAAGAGC